AUGGGCUCAGGCAGGCACCCACCAUGCUGCUCAGCAGAAGUCAUUGUUUCCAUUGGCACAGAUGAAGAAACAGAGGCUCAUGUUGAGAAGCCAGAGUCUACCAGUGGAGUGAGUGUCAGCAGCAGGGGCUAUCAGGCGGGGCAGGGUCCGGGGGAGUCUGCAGCGUAUAGAGUCUCUGAGGAAGGACAAGGCUGCUUCCCAUUGCACCGGGCAAUAUGUUCCUUAUUUCCAUCCCACUUUAUCGGAUGCAUAAACUGGAUUGUCUGCUCAGCUACGGGCUCAGGGUCAUUAUCAGCUCAUAACCUCUGCUUUCAACUUCUUAGUCCUAACGGAGUUUCACGCCGACCGAGCCGUGGCCAACCUGGCACCGCCCCCCCCCCCAACAAAUUCUUAGUGCCUCUAUCUUCUUUAGGUCCUUAGCAAGGAGACUUAGUAAGCCAGGAGUGGCCACCCCACAUCCUGUUAAGAAAGCAGGAAAGAGUUUCACUGCACUGGGAUGCCUACUGAUACAGCCAGCACCCUCUUGUCCUGUUCUUGGAAAGUUCACUCGUUCUGCUGUGUGGAAACUGAGGUUAAAGGAGUAACAGGCUGGAGGCCAAGCAGUGUGAUUGCAGGGUGGGGCAUAGGGGAACCAGGCUCCCUGUGCAUCUCUGACCCCAGACGCUACUGGGUCAUUAUAGCUCUGGGCUGGGUGUAUCUCAUCUGUGUACCCAUGGUGUGUUGUCCACAGGGAUUAUGUGGCAAAAGGUCUCUAAUUUGCUAGCUUUGGUCAGCAGAGGUGCUGUGGGCUCAGGCAGGGAAAAGGCAGAGUCCUAUUUGAGAGCAAGCCAAAAAGAUGACGGUGUGUGUGUGUGUGUGUGUGUGUGUGUGUGUGUGUGGUGGUGGUGGUGUGUGUGUGGGGGGGUCCUGCUUCUCUAGACCUUGAAAUGGCCCCUGAUGCAAAAUAUCAAGCUUCCGUAUAGCUUUAAAAGGAGAACACUGCAUUCUGAGUCAUGCAGAAUGUUCCAGGAGCUUAUGAUAAACUCUUGUCCUUCCUAGGGCUCAGUUUUCCUGUGAGCAUUUUGUUCCUGCUCUCAGUCUUUUCCAACUGAGCUAUGAUAACGAGAUCGCUUCCCAGGCUUCACGAGGUACAAGGCCAAGCCUAAGAAAUCUUAGCUACCUGUGAAGAGUGGAAAACUCAAUGAGCUACCCUUGUCAAGGGACAGUUGAUGCCUACUUUGCUUUCUAUUGCUGUGAUAAACACCAUGACCAAAAGCAAUCUGGGAAGGAAAGGGUUUGUUUUGGAUUACAGUGAAAGACGUUAAGAACUGAAACAGGAACACAGAGGCAGGAACUGAGCAGAGGCCAUGGAGAAGCAUUGCUUACUGGCUUGUUCAGCCUGCUUUCUUCUAUAACACGGGGCUCUCCAGGGUGGCACUACCCCAUAGUAGGCUGAGUGGAGUCCUUGCUGAGUAGCAGGGACUCCAGGGGUUUGUUCCAUCCAUCCAUCCAUCCAUCCAUCCAUCCAUCCAUCCAUCCAUCCACCCUCCCAUCCAUCCGUCCACCCAUACAUCCACCCACCCAUCCAGUCAGUCAUCUAUUCCUCCCUCACACAUCAAUCAUUAAUCAAAAAAUAAAGAAUUCCCUAUAUUUGCCUAUGUCCA
ensembl:lncRNA